UUCCUACGGGACGCAGCAGUGAGGAAUAUUGGUCAAUGGGCGGGAGCCUGAACCAGCCAAGUCGCGUGAGGGAAGACGGUCCUACGGAUUGUAAACCUCUUUUGCCGGGGAGCAACGGGGUCCUUGCGAGGUCCCAAUGAGAGUACCCGGAGAAAAAGCAUCGGCUAACUCCGUGCCAGCAGCCGCGGUAAUACGGAGGAUGCGAGCGUUAUCCGGAUUUAUUGGGUUUAAAGGGUGCGUAGGCGGGCUUUUAAGUCAGCGGUAAAAAUUCGGGGCUCAACCCCGUCCGGUCGUUGAAACUGGGG
rnacentral:rRNA from 1 species